rnacentral:rRNA from 1 species
UACGUAGGGAGCAAGCGUUGUCCGGAAUCAUUGGGCGUAAAGCGCGCGUAGGCGGCCCUGUAAGUCCGCUGUGAAAGUCAAAGGCUCAACCUUUGAAAGCCGGUGGAUACUGCAGGGCUAGAGUCCGGAAGAGGCGAGUGGAAUUCCUGGUGUAGCGGUGAAAUGCGUAGAUAUCAGGAGGAAUACCGGUGGCGAAAGCGACUCUCUGGACGGCAACUGACGCUGAGGCACGAAAGCGUGGGGAGCGAACAGG